rnacentral:rRNA from 1 species
UACGUAGGGGGCAAGCGUUGUCCGGAUUUAUUGGGCGUAAAGAGCGUGUAGGCGGCCAAGCAGGUCCGCUGUGAAAACUCGAGGCUCAACCUCGAGACGUCGGUGGAAACCGUUUGGCUAGAGUCCGGAAGAGGAGAGUGGAAUUCCCGGUGUAGCGGUGAAAUGCGCAGAUAUCGGGAAGAACACCCGUGGCGAAGGCGGCUAUCUGGGACGGUACUGACGCUGAGACGCGAAAGCGUGGGGAGCGAACAGG